GCUUCAAUAGCACAGUGGUAGUACAGCUCCCUUGUAAUGAGCAGGUCGUAGGUCCGAAUCCUACUUGAAACUCCA
rnacentral:tRNA from 1 species